UCGAACGAGAAAGUGGAGCUGCUCCAUGAGUACAGUGGCGACCGGGUGAGUAACACGUGACCAACCUGCCCUCGAGUGGGGAAUAACUCCGGGAAACCGGGGCUAAUACCGCAUAACAUCCUCGGAUCGGAAGAACUGGGGAUCAAAGGAGCAAUUCGCUUGAGGAGGGGGUCGCGGCUGAUUAGCUAGUUGGCGGGGUAACGGCCCACCAAGGCAAGGAUCGGUAUCCGGCCUGAGAGGGCGCACGGACACACUGGAACUGAAACACGGUCCAGACUCCUACGGGAGGCAGCAGUGGGGAAUUUUGCGCAAUGGGGGAAACCCUGACGCAGCAACGCCGCGUGGAGGAUGAAGUCCCUUGGGACGUAAACUCCUUUCGACCGGGACGAUAAUGACGGUACUGGUGGAAGAAGCACCGGCUAACUCUGUG
rnacentral:rRNA from 1 species